AUCCAGCUGGCAAGUCCCAAAUAGGACGAAACGCGCGUCAAACUGGAU
rfam:Schistosoma mansoni strain Puerto Rico chromosome 4, complete genome